GGGCUAGUCAAGGUUUCGACAGGGGUCUUGCAGCUGGAGAAGCUAUCCGCAGGCGAUGCGUCAAAUCGCAACAAUAAAUAUAAACGCUGAAGAUAAUUUAGCUUACGCUGCCUAAUGGUAGCUGUCCGAUCUAAGGCACUCACACUUUAGAAGUCGGGCAUCGACUAUGUGAGAAACGACGUAGCUUAAGCUUUGCGGCUACGGGCGUAUCAUGAAGCUACCAAAUAUAUCAGGGUGUCAAUUUCCUGAUAUAGGCGGGAAUGGGAGCAAUCCGAGAUAAUUGACUAUGAUAGUAGAAGGACAGGGAAUGGGCUUUUGGACACGGGUUCGACUCCCGUCUAGUCCACUC
rnacentral:tmRNA from 1 species